rnacentral:rRNA from 1 species
AACAAACGCUGGCGGCGUGCCUAACACAUGCAAGUCGUACGAGAAAGUCUACUUCGGUGGAUGAGUAAAGUGGCGCACGGGUGAGUAACGCGUGGAUAAUCUGCCCCUCAGUUGGGAAUAACUCAUCGAAAGGUGGGCUAAUACCGAAUAAUGCUGGGCAACAUAAGUUGCACAGCCAAAGAUAGCCUCUGCAUGCAAGCUUUCGCUGAAGGAUGAGUCCGCGUACCAUUAGCUUGUUGGUAGGGUAAUGGCCUACCAAGGCGACGAUGGUUAGCUGGUCUGAGAGGAUGAUCAGCCACACUGGAACUGAGACACGGUCCAGACUCCUACGGGAGGCAG